AGUGAACGCUGGCGGCAGGCCUAAUACAUGCAAGUCGAACGGCAGCACAGCAGAGCUUGCUCUGUGGGUGGCGAGUGGCGGACGGGUGAGGAAUACAUGGGAAUCUGCCCAGUCGUGGGGGAUAACGUAUGGAAACGUACGCUAAUACCGCAUGCGCCCUACGGGGGAAAGCCGGGGACCGCAAGGCCUGGCGCGAUUGGAUGAGCCCAUGUUCGAUUAGCUAGUUGGCGGGGUAAAGGCCCACCAAGGCGACGAUCGAUAGCUGGUCUGAGAGGAUGAUCAGCCACACUGGAACUGAGACACGGUCCAGACUCCUACGGGAGGCAGCAGUAGGGAAUAUUGGACAAUGGGGGCAACCCUGAUCCAGCCAUGCCGCGUGAGUGAAGAAGGCCCUCGGGUUGUAAAGCUCUUUUGUCCGGAAAGAAAAGCAAUCGGUUAAUACCCGGUUGUCCUGACGGUACCGGAAGAAUAAGCACCGGCUAACUUCGUGCCAGC
rnacentral:rRNA from 1 species